rnacentral:rRNA from 1 species
GUGAGGAAUUUUCCGUAAUGGGCGAAAGCCUGACGGAGCAAUGCCGCGUGAAGGAUGAAGGCCUAUGGGUUGUAAACUUCUUUUCUCAGAAAAGAAUUAUGACGGUAUCUGAGGAAUAAGCAUCGGCUAACUCUGUGCCAGCAGCCGCGGUAAGACAGAGGAUGCAAGCGUUAUCCGGAAUGAUUGGGCGUAAAGCGUCUGUAGGUUGUUUAAAAAGUAUUCUGUCAAAGAUUAGGGCUUAACCCUAGAUAGGCAGAAUAAACUUUUAAGCUAGAGUUUGGUAGGGGCAGAGGGAAUUCCCGGUGGAGCGGUGAAAUGCGUAGAUAUCGGGAGGAACACCAAAGGCGAAGGCACUCUGCUGGGCCAAUACUAACACUGAGAGACGAAAGCGAGGGGAGCAAAUGGGAUUAGAUACCCGUGUAGUCC